rnacentral:rRNA from 1 species
GAUGAACGCUGACAGAAUGCUUAACACAUGCAAGUCUUUGGCGAAGCUGUGCUUGCACCGCCUAGCCAAGGCGGACGGGUGAGUAACGCGUAAGGAACUUGCCCUGCAGUCAGGGAUAACAGACGGAAACGACUGAUAAGACCUGGUAAAGUCAGGCGGACUCAUGUCCAGCCUGAUGAAAAGAGAUGCUGCAGGAGAGCCUUGCGUCCUAUUAGCUUGUUGGUGGGGUAACGGCCCACCAAGGCGAUGAUAGGUAGCCGGCCUGAGAGGGUGGACGGCCACAAGGGGACUGAGAUACGGCCCUUACUCCUACGGGAGGCAGCAGUGGGGAAUAUUGGACAAUGGGGGCAACCCUGAUCCAGCAAUUCUGUGUGCACGAUGAAGGUUUUCGGAGUGUAAAGUGCUUUCAGCAGGGAAGAAAAAAAUGACGGUACCUGCAGAAGAAGCGACGGCUAAAUACGUG